UACGGGGGGGGCAAGCGUUGUUCGGAAUUACUGGGCGUAAAGGGCUCGUAGGCGGCCAACUAAGUCGGACGUGAAAUCCCCAGGCUCAACCUGGGAACUGCGUCUGAUACUGGAUGGCUUGAAUCCGGGAGAGGGAUGCAGAAUUCCUGGUGUAGCGGUGGAAUGCGCAGAUAUCAGGAAGAACACCCGUGGCGAAGGCGGCUCUCUGGGACGGUACUGACGCUGAGACGCGAAAGCGUGGGGAGCGAACAGG
rnacentral:rRNA from 1 species